GGUUAAGCGACUAAGCGUACACGGUGGAUGCCCUGGCAGUCAGAGGCGAUGAAGGACGUGCUAAUCUGCGAUAAGCGUCGGUGAGGUGAUAUGAACCGUUAUAACCGGCGAUUUCCGAAUGGGGAAACCCAGUGUGAUUCGUCACACUAUCAUUAACUGAA
rnacentral:rRNA from 1 species